AUGGCCAUAACCAUAUUCAGAAGAAGCUUCGUGGUUUCAGCGGUGGUGCUGUUAUCGUCUCUCUUGAUUACUGCCGUCUCUUCUCACAGCGCCGUUCUCAACGUCAAGUACAAGUUCUCCGGUCAAGAGCCCUCCAUCACGCAACUCAAAGCUCACGAUAGCCGACGCCAGCUUGGUAUUCUCGCCGGCGUCGAUCUCCCCCUGGGCGGCUCCGGUCGUCCCGAUGCCGUCGGGUAAACUCUUCCUCAAUUCUCUUUGCUUUCCAAUCAAUUUUUUUUUUUGGUUUUGAGUUUUGAUUGGAAAUGGUGUAUUUUCAAAAUUCAAGCACAAUAGAUUUUGUUGAGGUUAUACAAUUUGAUUGAUAUUGUUAUUGUUAUUGUUGUUGUUGUAGGCUUUACUAUGCAAAAAUAGGGAUUGGAACACCUAGAAAGGACUUCUAUGUGCAAGUGGAUACAGGAAGUGAUAUUAUGUGGGUCAACUGUAUUCAGUGCACAGAGUGCCCCAAAAGAAGCUCCCUUGGUGUAUGCUUCUCUACCCUUUCACUUCUUUGUUUUUGUGCUCACUUUCUUUGUUUUGACAUUAACGUUUUCUUGAAAAUGAAUCAUUUUCUCGUUCUCCUAUUUUUUUUGGUAGCGAUGUUAAAAUGAGUUGGAAAACUAACUUUUAAUUUCCCUUCUUUACCUUCAUGUGAGAUAGAUUUAUUUUCCUUAUUAAGCUUCACGCGAGAUAUGUAGAGAUACUUUCCAGAAAUUUUUAGUGGAAAACAACUCUAUUUUAUGUCAGGCUAAAGAAGGGAAGUCCUUAUGCAAAAAACUAUUUUCAUAUAAAGUUUUUCAUUGAAACAAAUGGAUUGUAAGUAGAAUUAGUUAAAAACGACAUGUCAAUUAAGGAAGUAACUGAAGAGUAUGACUUUAGAUAGAAUAGAAUGAACACAUGUGGUCAACGUUGACUAAUCUAUUGAGGGUUUGUAGCUGACCCCAAAAGAUUUGAGACCAAGGGUUGGUUGUUGUUGUUGUUUGCCCAGCUUAUUUAUUUAUAUAUUUUUAUUGGAUAAUUGAGUAAGCUUUAUUAACAACCUGCAACAAAAGAUAUAGGAUUAGUUUUGAAACACUAGAACUCGGUAGCAGCAGCUUGGUAAUCUACACUAGAGAACAGAGAUAAGAUAACUUUCCCCUACUAAUAUCACACUACAAGCAACUAAUACCAUUGCCCAGCUUGAAUAAUGAAAAUUAGAUUGAAUAGCCCCUCGAUUAAUGCAACUAACACCAUUGCCCAGCUUGAAUGACACACACAAGAUUAGUAGAACUGUAGAAGUAAAGCUAGUUGCAUCAUAAAUUAAUCUUUAGCAACACUUAGGGAAUGAAGCAUCUAAGGGUGGCAAUUAUCAUGCCAAAGAAAAAUUGAGUCUGCACUGAGUACUUGAUGAGAAGUAUAGCUACACCCUUGAGUUGUAAGAUUUUCACCCAUCCUUAUGUAAACUGCCUUGAUGAAUUUUAACUACUAAAACUAAAUGCUUGCUUGACUAUUUUCUUAUUCAUCUAAGUUUACUAAGGUUUCAAAAAGAGUUUCUUUAUUUUUUUUUUUUUGAUAAGUAAUAAGUUUAUUGAUAUCAAAAAGGGAAGUACCCUAGUAUACAGGGAGUGUACAAGGGGUCAAACAAUCAAGAACAAAAAUUACAAGAAUCUAGGAAAUCAAGAAAAGAUGAAAAUGAUUGGUUCUGCAAUGCAGCCAACCAAUCCAUUAAAGUUCAAAUAGCUUCAAGUCUAAAAUAGAUUUCUCCUUAUCUUCAAAGCACCUACUAUUUCUCUCUCUCCAAAGACACCAUAAUAAGCAGUGGGGAACAAUCAACCAUAUAAACCCAUUUCGAUGACAAUCAAAUCUGCCUUGCCAACAUGCUAAAAGCUCCACUACAGACUGCGGCAUAACCCAGCUCACUCCAAACAAUCCGAACACCAUAGCCCACAUAUCCCUUGCAACUGGACAAUGAAGAAAAAGAUGAUCAACCGAUUCACCAUUACACUUGCACAUGUAGCACCAAUCCAAUAUCCAAACUCUCCUUUUUCGUAAAUUGUCAAUUGUUAAGCACUUCCCCAAAGCAGCAGUCCAAACAAAGAAAGCUACUCAAGAAGGAAUCUUCUGUUUCCAAAUACUUUUCCAAGGAAAGCAAAAGUCAUUAUAGCCCACUAAGAGACUAUAAUAGUCUUUAACCAGGAAGCCAUUCUUUCUAUCAAGAUUCCAGCACAUCUUAUCCUCACCAAACCCUUUCACCGAAGCACCAUAAAUGGUAUCCAUGAAACCAACCAGUGCCUCUAAUUCUCGAGCAUGCACACCCCUAAAGAAACUCACAUCCCAAAAAAGUACUCCAUUAUCAAGCUUCAUAAGCUCAGCCACACUGGCCUCCUUAUCACGGCAAACUCUAAACAAUUCAGGAUAACUGACUACAAGAGAAGUCUCACCACACCAAUGGUCUUGCCAAAAUUUCACCUUAGACCCAUCCCCAAUAUCAUAUAGAAUGUGGCGAGAAAAAGAAGGCCAUCCCCGACUAAUAAAGAAAAAGAGUUUCUUUAUUGUGUGUGGAAAGUAACAUGGGGCAAUAUUCUAACAUGCGAUAAUCUCAUGAAAAGAGAAAUUACUCUAGUAGAUUGGUGUUGCACGUGUAGGAGUAAAGUGACUGGUGAGAUUUUGGAGUAUUUGUUGUUACGUUGUGACAUUGCAUAUGAAUUUUGGAUUUAUGCUUUUUUUUGAUGUAGGACGAAUUAGGGAUUUGUCUACGUUUAGUUAUGGUGGGUUUAGGGUUGGAAAGAAGAAGAAUUAGAGAGAAGUUAGGGCUGUUUAGGGGCUGUGUGAACAGUAUCAUGAACAGUAUCGUGAACAGUAAUUCUAGAAAGAAAAGAGAGAAAGAGAAAGAAAUAACAAAGGCCAAUGUGCCUAUUGGUCAAAACACUCAAUUUUAUUAAUCAACUCAUACUAUUUUUUGAAUACAUUUAGCACCCUAUAUAUAUAUAAAGACUCUUACUUGUAUACUAGUACUAUUAGGAUUCCUAAUAGUACAACUGUGCAAGGACUACUAUUUAACCCUAAUAAAUUAAACCAAAGCCCAUACAUAAAGACCCAUAAUUAAAUAAGACUCAUUAAUAAAACCUAUGGCCUAUAACUAUGGCCCAUACCUAACAAUUGUAAAAUUACUAAAAUAACCUUGACUCAAGAAUAACCAAAUAAAAUAUAAAAACUUAAUUAACUACCAUGGACACUUAUUCUUGGGCUUUGCCUUAGCCUUAGGCUUCCAAAGAGAAUAUCCUUUCUUUAACCAUGUUAUGAUUCCGCCAUCAUUUUCUAUUUAGGGGGGGGUAAUGCCUAGGAGUGUUGUUGGUGUAUUAUGUGGAUGGAGAACUUGGUUUGGUAAACAUUUGUCCUUUGUCUGGAAUUUCACCCCUUUGUGCCUCUUGUGGACAUUGUGGAGAGAGAGGAAUCAUCAUACAUUUAAAGAUUUGGAGGUCUCGGAUUUCAGUUGAAGUUCUCUAAUGAGAUCAUUGUUUGAAUGGUCGUGUUUUGGGUCUUAGCUAGAUUCAUUUUGUUGUUGAUUUUAUGAUUCUCUUUCUUUCUGAUUGUAAUUCUCUUUCUUUUUAAAUUUUUAGGACCAUCUCAUGUAGACACCCUGUGUACAUGAAGUAGUUCCUCUUCAUCAAUAAAACUUAUCAAAGAUGAAUUUUAACUAAUUAGAACUUUUACCUUUCAAUAUAUAAUGUUUUGUUGAAGCAACCCAUAUAGAACUAGCUUUGAGAGAACAAACUCCAUACAGCAUUAUUCCAUUAAUAUUUAAUUAUUCUUAGCCCUCGUCCCCCCUCUGUUUUGGGCAUAAACCUCCAUCUUGAGUUACCUUGACUCAUAUUUUAGACACUUCAUUACCAUUCUACAGUAAGCUACUGAACAUUUGUUCAAUCUCAUUAGUCACCUUCAUAGGCAAGGUAAAAAUGCUAGUUUUAAUACACCUGGAUCCCAUAAAUUGUUGAAUACAAAAGAUUGAAGUAUCAGUGCAAAUAAAUGGCUUUCUUUUGUCCACUAACUAGUACCAGUAGUAAUUUUAUUUAAUAAGGGUGAUAAGCUACCACUAUUUCUAAAAAAUUAAGCUGUUAGAAAAUGAUGAAUUUAAUCUUUAGCCGUUAUUCUAAUAAAGCCCUUCGAGUGUGGCACAAAUUCACCCUUAAUAAGGGAGGCCCAACACAUGGGAUUUGUAAAUUUUUUAUAGAGUGGAGAAAGUGUUCAAAUCCAGGACCACCUGCUCCGAUACCUUUAUAAAUUACUACUUUUUCCAAACUUUGAAAUUUGAUUAUUUCACCAUUAUUGUAACAAAGGGCUCAAUCUUGGGCUAUGAGAUUACCAGAAUCAGAGGCAGUCCCAAGUAUCUUACUAGCAAUUUUCCCUCCUUGAAAUGCAGAGUAGACAUAAUUUGUCCUUGAUUUCUUCCAGCAAAAAAUGUCUAUAACAUUUAGAGUGGUCAGACAUCUGAUGAAACUCUUAUAAUGUUGCUUAAAUUAUUUUUGAUAGAUUUCAAGUCAAUAGCAGUUUACAUCAUCAGCAAAGUUCAAAUGAGAUAGUUGUAAUCUUUCACAUUUUAGAUGGAACUUAGUGUUUGUUUAUGAAUUGCUUAUUUCCAGUAGUUUGUUUGCAUAGUGUUAAUUAAAAGAUAUAGUUUUUGAUAACUUUUGUGUUAAAUGUGUUACAAAAAAGCUAAAAACUAGUUUAUUUCAAAAAAGGUAAAAGCUAGAUUAUUUGCAAAAAAAGCUAGGAAAAAAAAUUGAGACAAAAAGCAAAAAGCAUAACUUUUUUUCAACAAUUGCCAAACGCACACUUAAAGCCCUUUUCUUCUAUAGCAGCUUUCUUCAUCAUUCUUGAGAACACUGUCAUGGUUGUGAAAAAAAAAAAUUAGGAUAUGAAUGUUCUCCUAUGUGAAACCAUUCCUCCCCUUGAAAUACCCCACAAAGCUUUCAUUCACAUGCAUGGAACUUUAGGAGAAGUGAUGCUUUUUCUCACCUAUUAUAUGAGUUGCUUUGGAAUGUCAAUGACAACAAUAAAACUCAAUAGAAAUUCAUUCCCAUUAUAGAAAAUCAUAGGCUUUUUAUUAUGUCUGACUUUAGUGUGCAUCUAGCAUGUCCAAGGUCCCUGUGAUAGUUUUGCACCAUCUCUUGAGCGAUGAAAUUACACAUUUGAUUGCUUUGCUGAUUCAUUGUUUCUCUUCUAACAGAUUGAUCUGUCUCUAUACAAUAUAAAGGACUCGGCCACUGGGAAAAUGGUUCCUUGCAAUCAAGAAUUUUGUUUAGAGGUAAAUGGGGGUCCUUUAACUGGCUGCACAGCUAAUGAUUCCUGUCCGUAUCUUCAGAUAUAUGAAGAUGGCAGUUCCACUGCUGGAGUCUUCAUAAAGGAUCUUGUACUGUAUGACCGGGUUUCUGGAGAUCUUCAAACAACUUCAGCCAAUGGAAGUAUUAAUUUUGGGUGAGCUUGUGACUGAUACUUCUUUUGUUAGUGAACCUGUAGAUAUGGAUUUUGUGUGGAAGUAUGAUCAUGAUUUCUUAGUGUACUCUUUAUGUAAUGCGAUGUUUGGUGUGCUUACCAAAAUUUGUUUGUGUUACCUAUUCAUGAUAGAUUCAGUGAUAUAAAGGAUAUACUUCUUGAUGUAGGUUUUUAUUUUUUAUUAUUAUUUUUGCCGCACUUCAGGUGAGACUGAGGGUCAUGUUUCAUAUAGUUUAGAGAUAAACUUGGUAGAGUGGUAUCAGCCACUAAAGAUGAUCUUUUUGGGUAUAAGUGUUUAUUCUAAUUCAGAAUAUUCUGUAGCUUUUUCUGCAUCCUGAGGCCUAGAAUCUGAAUGUUUUUAAUAAUGAUUCCUUGUUGGCGGUUCAGGUUUGUGUUGAUCGUGUGAAUUUGCUUUCUUCAUAAAGAAACUCUUUGUAGGGCUUUGUGGAGUUUUGAGAUUCUCAUUGAAUAUCACAAAGUGGUGGAGAUGUAAGUUGUUGUUUUCAGAUAUUGUAUUUCCAUUUUAAUAGUUAGCUUCCUGUGUUAGCUUACCCAUGGAAGUAGCUCAACAAGUGAAUUAUGCAAUCACUAGCAUAGUGGUUGUGUAAUUUUGUCUUCUUUUACUUCGUAAUUUAUCUUGUAAUUCUUGCACAAGAUAGGUGUAUUGUUUGGCCGAAGCAUUUUCCAUUUUAGAAUUUAGCAAUUGGACUUGGCCAAAUCAUAUAUAUAUAUAUAUAUCUUUUAAAAAUUUAAAUUUCUAAAUUGUACUUUUGUCUCAAAUUUUGAUUAAUUAGAGUGCUAUCAAAGAGUUUGGGAGUCUAAGAUGCUUGUCUAGUUAUCCUUUUAGGGAAGUUUAACAACAAUAGCAAGUGAAUUUUCAGAGGGAAAACUGUGGUCAAACCAUGUUAGAUAAUAGCAAAUUUUGAGGGAAAAGUGUGAUUGAACCAGGUUAAAUUCUUAACCCUUGAAUGUCUUUCAAUUUAUUAUUUAUUGGAUCUCUGUGUGGUUCCACUGGCCUUGGUCUCAGAAUGAAUGAUUUAAGGUAAAACAGUCAUUACAAUUUGGUAUCUUCUUCUUCUUUUUUUAAUAGUAUUUUGGUAUCCUUGAGAUCUGGAGCAUAUAAGAGGAGAUUAGUACGACAUUUUGAGUCUAGUGAUCUCUUGACAUGGGUUGCAUGUACUAAAAUUAGUAAAGGUGGAGCUACACACUUGUUGCCAAGAAGAUGAAGGGUUUACAUGGUUGAAUUUGACCAUGGUAGAUAUAUGGGAAUCUGUAUCAAAUUCCUAUUUGGACUUGGUAGAGAAGUUUUGCAGGAAGUUUUUUGCUUGGUUAUGGUGUGAAAGGAAAUUGUUUCUUUCUUAUAAUCCACAUCUAGGGUUAUGAGUAAAAGGGUUGACAAGAGAUGCAAGGGAGACGGGGUCACGGGGAACAUUGAUGAAAUAUGGGAUCAAGGCUAUGUUCUAUGGCUUAGGUGUGAUGAUUAUAGUAGCUGUUGUCUAUUGUUCUGGUGUAAAGUGUCAAUUUGGAUGCCUUGAAAUCUUGUUCCUUUAUAAUUACCUAUACUUACAAUGGAUUGUUUCUCUCAUCCAUGGAUGUAGGUGGGUUUAGAUGAACAGUCUAUUUGUAAUUGAAGUUAUGGUUUAUCUGAUCUCAUUGUGACUGAACAUCUGUUGAGCCGAACAAGUGGUAUCAAAGCUGAUAGUUUGUUGGGUAUAUCAUUGGCGUUUUGGCAUCCUUUAGCCUGAAGUAUGAGGAGAUAGGCUACAAGAGCUUUGAGUAUGAUUAGCUAGGAUGAUUAUUAAAGGUUUUUGUUGAAAUAAAAUCUACUAGAUAUAGAAGCUAGAAAUUUUUAUAACCAAGUCAAACCCAAUCUUAGCCUAGGACUACUUUACCAAUUUUUGAAGAUUAGGAUGAAAUACAUCUAAAUGCUUUAAAAUAUUUCAUUAACAUUAUUAGAACAUAUCUGAUCAUGUACUUCUCCAUAUAUUUGGUAUCAAUGUGCUUUUACAUCUCUUUCUCUCUCUUCGUUGUAAGAUUUAGCUGGAACCUUUCAUAAACUAAAGUAGGUGAAACAUUUUAAAAUACAUGCACUCCAACACUAUCACUUCAGCAUAACAAGGAGCUCUAGUAUAUUUGGGGUAGGGUAGCUAAUUGUUUUUUCCAAGGAUGUGUUUAUGACAAAUAACCAUUAUAAAUCUCUUUCUGUUGUCUGAUUUUGUUCUCUUUCCAUGUGUGUUUCCCUCCCCAAUGAGGAAGUUGGUGAAUUUGUGUUCUAGCUUUUUAUUGGACAGCUAAUACAGUUUUUUGUUAUUCUUUCUACAGGCUACUGUUACAGUCUAGUUACUGAAAUAAACUGUGUUAACUCUUUAAAAUUAAUCAAACAAUUCUUCUAUAAACUAGCUCGCUCAGUUUAUAUACUCAGAUUACCAUAAUGUGUCUCAUUUAUUGUGUGCUUUAGCUACUGAAAACUGACAUGUUUUUCAUUGCCAAUUUAAAAUAUAGCAGGUUGAAAACUAAACUGCUUGUGAACUUAUUCCAAUGAAUGUUGACAGUAUCUAAACUUCAAAUCAAAUGUCUUCUGGUCAUUUUAUGUUAUUCUGUGCUUUGCAGUCCUUUUUCUUCCCUCUCUUAAAUUGUUUUCGCACAGAGGUUUCUUGAAUAUCAUGAAGUUCCCUCUGAUGCUUUCUAUUUUGUUCUAGGAUUUAUCUAUUAUAUAAACUUCUUGAAAUCUAUCUCAAAAUUGUGUCUGUUGUAUGAUGUCAAAAGGCCUAAUUAUCAUCAUUUAGUUGUAUGGUCAAUCAACAACAACCUGUUCCUCUUCUCAGGGGUAAUUAAGUGGUGUUUUCAAUGUUUUUGGUGUAGGUGUGGUGCUAGACAAGCUGGGGAUCUAGGUUCAUCUAAUGAAGAUGAGGCGCUAGAUGGGAUUCUUGGUUUUGGAAAAUCAAAUUUGUCCAUAAUUUCACAAUUAGCUUCAUCUGGAAAAGUGAAAAAGAUGUUUGCUCACUGCUUAGAUGGAGUAAAUGGAGGUGGUAUUUUUGCAAUUGGGCAUGUCGUGCAACCAAAAGUCAACAUGACUCCCUUGGUACCAAACCAGUAUGUGAGAUCUUUUGCGGGUGUUAUGGUUGUAUCUUGUUCUCCUUUGUCUUAUUUAUAGAAUCUGAGCAGUCUUUUGCUGAAAGCUUAUUUGCUUAUUUACUAAAAGUUGGUUAAAAGUAUAGCCGUACCUAGAAAAUGUGAGUUUUUUAAAAUCUAUACAUAAGCAAAUAAACUAAAAAGUUAGAAGAAAAAGAUGUUGCCAAACAGACACUGUUUAUUUUGGUUGUAAUACUAUAUAAAUGGUUUCUUUUAACAAUAAAUUAUGGGCAAAUUACAACUUACCCACCUAUGGUUUGGCUGAAAUUUAAAUUGCCUAUCCGUGGUUUAAAAUUUGACACUUUACCUAUUUGAAGUUUGACCGAAAUUUAAAUUGCCUACCUGUGGUUUAAAAUCUCAUGAUGCAAGUGUUCUGCUGGAUUCUUUUGAUUUUGUAUUUUUUUUGUGUGUUUUUGGAGGAGAGAGACAUAAAAGUGGAACAAAAUUAUAUAUUUAGCCCUGUUUUUAAUAGAGAUGGGUUAUAGAAAUCUAACUAAGCUAACUUUAGGUGGAUAAAGUGUCAAAUUUCAAACCAGAGGUAGGCAACUUAAAUUUUGACCGAACCACAGGGGGGGGGUAAGUUGUAACCUAAGACUCAUGGCUUUAGAAUAGUGUCAUAACUUCCUUUGAGUAAUUCAAUUUUAGCUUGUAGAAUUUUUUUUCUGAUAGGGAUACAUGUAACCUAAGACAAGUUGAGGUUUAAAGGAGGUUGAUUAAUUUAGUGGGAAAAGAUCUAAUGAUGGAUAACAAAGCGAAAGCUGACCCCUAACAAUUGGAAAAUGCUUAAUAUACUUUUUAUUGUGCUUGAAAAUAAUGCAACUAUACUUGAUUGUGCUUGAAAACAAUGUGUAAUUCUCUAGUACUUAGUGAACCUAUUUCAUUACUUUAUAUAACAGUGCUAUACUGAGCUCUCAAGCCUGAAGUUUUAUUAGCAGGAUAUAGUUGUCUUGCUUUUGAUAGUUUGCUUCAUUAUUUAUGUGCUUUAAUAAGUGCUUGGGCAGUGAAACAAUUAUUUCUGAGUCCGCUGAUAUAAUAAUUGAGCUAAGAUUCAAGAAGCUGGAGUGAGUGGAUUGGUUGGAAUUCUGCAGGUCUCUAAGGAGAGGAGGUUAAAAGAACUUUGCAGUAUUAGAUUUCAUGAUAAAAGGGAACCAAUGCCGUAACUUCGUGAAAAUAAGAAGACAGCAGUCACAUGUAGUCAAAUAGAAUGGCUAUGUUCAUCAUUAUGUAUUUAAUAUUCAGAUAUGUUGGGUAUUUUAUAUAUAAUAAUAAAAGAUCACUUGUUAGUGCUAUGUUUAUCAUUAUCUAUUGAAAUAAGUUGAGUGCCAACAUCAAGACCAAAUUUAUAAUAAUUCAAAAUUGAAUAGAAUUCCUUAAAUAUGAUGUUUGAUCUCUUGAGCAUGUCAAGGAUCUCGUAAGCAAUGCUUUAUAUUAAAAUGGCAUUGACUUUCUUUGAGAUUUUAACCGGUUUGAAAGUUAAUUUGAGCAAGAGUGAAGUAGGGAUGGGAGAUGUGGGUUAUAUAGAUGAGUUUGUAGAGAUUUUUUUUAUCAUAAGGUUGGGAGCUUGCCUAUGAAUUAUUUGGGUGUGCCUUUGGAUUCAUUUAUUAAGGCAUACAUUGUGUGGAAUCCCUUUUUAGAGAAGACAGCGGAGAUUGUUAAGAUGGAAAAAGUUAUACUCAUCUAAAGGGGGAAGAAUAGUACUAAUUAAAAGCAUGUUAUCGUGACUUCUUACAUCUUAUUAUUUGUUAAUUCACCUUUUCGUCCCAUGUGGUGAAUAGAUUAGAGAAGUUGACGAGGAACUUUCUCUCAAACGGGUUGAGGGAUGAGCCCAAGUUUCAUUUUGUGGACUAGAAUAUUGUGUGUUCUCUUGUCAUAUGAGGGGAUUUGGGUUCCAAGAUGGGGAUCUUUAAUAGAGCUCUAUUAGUGAAGUGAUUGGCAUUUCAAGGUAGAGGAGACUCAUUUAUGGGGAGGGUAAUAGCGUUAAAAUAUUGCAUGGAAGGGGGCGGCUAGGCAACGGAGCAAAUGCGUAACACACAUGGGUGUAGUUUAUGGGAAAAAGUUUGGCUCCAACCACCAAUAGGAAGAUGGCAUGUAUCCCGUCUUAUGUAAUGAACAUGACUCAUUUAAUUGGUUGGGUUAAGUGAGUCAUAUGCAUUGUACGUGACAAGGGCUAAUGUCAUCUUCCUAUUGGUGGUUCGAGCCCAAGGCUCCAAACAUGUCCAAACUUUGUCCUAGUUUAUGGAAGGAAAUUAGAGCAAAGUGGGAUGUCUUUGUCAUGAAUGUGCAUUUUGAAGUGGGAGAAGGAGAUGAGGUGCAUUUCUUGCAUGACAGGUGGUGUGGGGAGCACCUCUUGAAGGAGCAGACCUUGUCUUGUAUGGCGGAUGAGGACGAGUUGGUAUUUGCUUAUUUGGUGGGUGGUACCAAUGGGGGUGAGGUGCAUUGAAAUGUUCGGUUCAUUCAACCUUUCAAAAAUUGGUAAUCAGAGCCGGUUGAGCCUUUGUUGAUUGUUGUAUUCUAAGGUGCUAACUAGUGAUUUCCGGAUAGGAUGCGAUGUAGACUGCGUGGGAGUGGGGCGUUUGAUGUAAGGUCUUUUUAUGAUGUGUUGCAUGCCCAUAGGGUGAUUAAUUUCCCAUGGAGUGGUAUUUGGUGUGCCAAGGCCCCAAAGGGGGUUGCUUUCUUUGUGUGGACCGCAGCUUGGGGGAGGAUCCUGACCAAUAAUAAUCUUUGAAAAUGGGAAAUAUAUUGGUAGAUUGGUGUUAUUUGUGCAGAAAACGGGGGAAACAGUGGAUCAUUUGCUUUGUAGUUUGCUUAUGCGAUGUGGAGUUACGUGUUUGGGCUUUUCAUGGUUCAAUGGGUGCCAAAAAUAUUGGACUUACUGGUUGGUUGGCGUAACUGAUUUUGUAAAUGCUCAUCUGGGAUGUUGAAUUUAGCUCCCUUGUGCUUGAUGUGGAUAUUGUGGAGGGAACAGAAUAGUUGCACCUUUGACGAACAUGAACUUUUGGAAUUUCAGCUGAAGACCUCCUUUAUUAGACAAUUUAGAGAUUGGUCCAGUGGAAUGGGACUGAAUUAUAUACUUACUGUAAUAGAAUUUAUUGAUUCACUUACAUUUGCAUGUAAUCUUUGAUAUAUAUUUUAGGCUACCUUGUGUUCUUUUACACGAGGUAGUUCUUCUGCAAUAGAAAUACAUUACUUAUAUAUAUAUAUAUAUAAAUGUAAUAUGUUACUCAUUUUUCUUUCUACAUUUAUGAGUUUUAUUUUUAUUAUUUUAAGCAAUUUCUUCUCAAUUAAAUCUUGGCCUAUGUAAUUUCGUUGACUAAACUGUUUCUUCUUGCAAAAUUUGUAGGCCUCAUUACAAUGUCAAUAUGACGGCUGUUCAAGUUGGUCAAGUUUUUUUAAAUAUUUCAAUGGAGGUGUUUGAGUCAGGAGACAGAAAAGGGACAAUAAUUGACAGUGGUACAACCUUGGCCUAUCUCCCAGAAAUGGUUUAUGAUCCAUUAGUAAAUAAGGUAUGUCCAUAUGAAUCAUUUGUAGUGUACAUGAUAUAUUAGAGUUCAAGUUGGUUGACUUCCGUAUUUCAAGUUGCCCACUUACACAUUUGAUAUCUUUGUUAGAUCAUCUCUCAACAGCCAGAUAUAAAUGUUCAAACUGUUCACGAUGAGUAUACAUGCUUCCAGUACUCUGAGAGGUAUGUUGCAUGUAUAUUGUUGUCAUAUGAGACUUUUGAAUUAAGAGAUGGUAGUGCUAGAUGUGGUAUUGGUGGCUACAAGGAAAGAGGAAAUACAUAAAGAGAUGGGAUCUCAACCCAAUGUUGGUUUUGCUUCCCUACCUAUUUAUAUAAUACAUUUUCAAAAUUUUGUAGGAAUACUAAUGCCCUUGCCUAUAAAGCUCUUAUAAUAUAAUGCCUAGAAUGUUUUAGAGAUUGAAAAUGACCGUUAUGGACGGCCUUGUAGAUAUAUCUCCCAAGUGAUCACAAGACGUGACAUAUGAGGAAACAAUUUACAUUCCAUAUCUUGGAUGCAACAUGAUGUAGAACAAUGAGCUUGAUAACAAAACUGGUGCACCACAAAAUUCUCCAAUGAUUUUUUUUUGGAAAAACAAACAGAAAAAUAAGAUAAACCUGGGAAUCAGCACCUAGGAAUUGGUUGGAAUCAACACCAAGCCAUUGGAAAAUUCCAACUAAAUUUUUAUUUACCAUAAACUUGUCUCCAUAGUAUUAAAAUAACUUGUGUUAUAGACCACUAGGACUAAAUCCUAUUCCUAAUUGACUGACUUGGGUCCAAGCCCAAUUAUUUGUUCUGAAAAUAAUAUUGAUGCUAGGAAAUUAAAUAAAAUACUAAUAACCUAAUUAUAACUAAUACUCCCCAAAAUAAAGUUCAAUUCUUCUUUGACAUUGUCAAUCGCUCAUACUUCUUCAUUGAUUUGUCUGCCCAACCCCUCUGCUCCCAACACGAGCUUUUUCAGAUUUUUGGUUUCUUACCUUAACCACCUGCAUGGCCAAGUCUCCCCCACUUAUCUCUUUGUAGAUUUUAAUAGUUUUAAGUUUUAUCUUUUUUUCUUAGGUAUAUCAAGUAUCAACUAUUGAAAACUUAUUGGUUGGCAUAUUGGGUUGGGCAUUAACUUAUAAUUUUAAAGGCUCUUAACAAAUUUUAUGAGCUUUGACCAAUACCAAUUAGUUUAAUGAAUGCAUAUAAAUAUAUAUAUAUAUAUAUAGUGGUAACCUGAAAAGGUAAAUCAUUAUUGACUACUACCAACAUAUUUCAUUCUCUUGGCCAAAUCAAAACUCCCUCUGGUCUGGUAUUUGGUAUUUACAACUUUGGCCAAUGGUGUCAGAGAACAACAACAGUGAGGGAUUGGAGUUUGUUCUGAUACCAAUUGAUGCAGAAUGUGUUUGAUAUCAAAACUAAUGCAGCAAAAAAUUCUGCAAAGAAAUUUGGAGGAAAAACCAAAUAGAAAAAUAAGAUAAACCUAGUAAUUAGCACCUAGGGUUGAUUGGAAUUAGCACCAAUCCAUUAGAAAAUUUUUAAUUUUUAUUUAUCAUAAACAUGUCUCCUUAGGAGUACAUUGUACAAUAAUAUGCUUAUAUUGACAACAAGGACUUAACUGUAAUCCUAAUUGACUUGGGUCCAAACCCAAUUAUUGAAUUACAAAAAUAACCUUGACUGUAGAAAUUUAAAUAACCUGUGUCUUGUAUUUUGUUAUAUUUGAACAUGCUGGGUCACCUUCAUCCAUGGUUGAUCGUAAAUAUAUAUUCUUUUAUCUCUCAAGCUUGCCAAUUCCUUCUGGCUUGAUAUAACUUCAUGUAUCAUUGUUGAUGCUAUAAUGUUCUGACAAUUGAGACUUAUCAAAACCAAAAAAAAAAAAGGUUCUUACAAUUGAGAAUAAUGUGUAAACAUUGUGCUAUAGUUUAUUUAACUUUAAUUUGUGAGUUUUGCUUUCAAUUGCAGCAUUGAUGAUGGAUUUCCACCUGUUGUAUUUCAUUUUGAGAACUCACUCUCAUUGAAGGUUUAUCCGCAUGAGUAUCUAUUCCUCUUAGUAAGUAUAUCAAGCAAGUUAAUAAAGCUGCUCUUCAGAUAUGUUUGUUUCUACAUUUUACUUGCUUUCUUCUUGGUCUUCUCUUUCUAUGUUGCUGUUCAUUCUUAUCUUUUUUGCUGUGUUGCCUGCCCCUUCUGCUCAUUUUUAACCUUCUUGCCUCAAUCUGUGACAAGUAAUACUUCUUAAUGCCUCAAAAUUUAACUUUUGGAAAUUACCAAAAAAAAAAAAAAAAAAAAAAAGUUUAGAUAAAAUACACUUGUUUUCUCUGUGCUUUCAAGCUCCCUUAAAUUGAAAAUUAAAAACACCUCUUUGCUUGUUUUUAGUUUCCUUUGUAAAUUGAGAUGUGGAAACCGUUUCUGUUUUCUAUUUGUUUUCAGUUACCAAACAAGUUUUCAAGUCUAUAAAAUAGAAAAGAUCUUUUGAAAAUAGAAAACUUUGAGAAAAAAACAGUUACCAAACAUACCCUUACCUUUUGGAAAGUGUUGAUGCUUCAAAGCUCUUAUUAACUUUUAGAUUGCUGAUAGUACUCUAUCUUAAGAAACUGCUCAUGCUGCUUUCUGAUGAGGAAUUACAUUUUAUUGAGAAACCAACUGACAUGUUUUAGUCUACAUUGUACUAAAACAAUUUCUUUUGAUGUUCCCUCAUAGAAUGCUGCAAGAGCGGUAGAUCUCUUCCACUCUCUCAUAUCUGAUCGUAGGUUAAUGUUUGAAUGUUUUAAAUUGACAGAUUCAGGACACGCGCUGAAUAAGAUUAGAAUCACACCCUUCUUAUGAAAACAUUAUGGGUCCUCAUCAUUGAGGGCUACCAAAACUGAUCCCUGGGAUGUAAACCCCAUACAAACUGUAUUUGGACAAUUGUGAUGCUAGGAGUUCACCACAAGGGGCCAAAAAUAAAUCAAUGAAUAUGUUAAUAAAAUCUAGGAUUCUUUAUAUAUGUGAAUAAGGAUGUUGUUCUAAUUUUAUAAAAAAGGUGAUAAGAAUAGAGUUUAUUGUUCGAAUCUUUAAAAAGAAAAUUAUAACUGAUUCUUUGAUGUACAAGUUCAAAACAGAUUUUGUCACUUUGGGCUUUUGUCUAAGCAUAAGUAGAUUUCAAGGUCAUAAUAUAAAUAAUAUUCUGGUAGGCACUGUAAUGCAAGCACAUGGAAUGUCAUCCCUUUGUGCAUCAUGUGGUUUAUUUGUAGAGAAUGCACUGUGCGUAGUUUUGAAGAUUGUGAGAAGACAACUUCUGAGUUGAAGUUACUACUAUGGAUGACCUUUUAUUGUUGGCUAGCUGCUACUGGCUGUUCUUUUUCAAACUUCUUAGAAUUUCUUGAUUCAUGGUUUAUUUCUUGUAUACUUCCCAUGCACAUGGGUUGCGCCCCUUUUCACUCUUAUGGAAUCUAUUUACUGACUUAAAAAAAAUGUAAAUAAUGUUAAAUAACAUGGGGAGUAAUUAUUUACUAUACAGUGGAGGAAGAAAAAAUAAUAAUAAUAAAGAUAUACAAAUCUGUGGAGAUUUUUCUUCUUUGGUGGGGUUGGGGUGUUUGGGGGGGGGGGUUGAGGCGUGGUGGUGUGGGUUGCGCUGGCCCCAUUUGGCCUAUGUGUUGGUAGAAAGCACUUAAUGGCAGUAAUAGAAGCCCUAUUAACCAUCAGUGUUUGCCAACCAUCACUCCCAUCUGGUUCACUCUAGAUUUCUCAAGUAUUUAAAAUUCUGGUUUUCACAAAUAUUAUGUAAAUGAAAUGCAACCUACCUUGGGAGAUUUCCUGCUUUUUUAUCAUUACUCUAGCCAAUCUUGUAUAUGCUUGUAAUUCUUGUCUUGUAGCAUUUUUUAUUUUCAGAUUUCCCAUUUUCUUAAUUUCUGUUGCCUUUUAAUCAUUGUCAAUCAGUUAGUUUACUAUUGUGGAUCUUUACAGGAAGGUUUAUGGUGUAUUGGUUGGCAAAACAGUGGGAGGCAAUCCAGAGAUAGGAUGAACUUGACCCUUUUGGGAGGUAUAGCCCAAAUAUUUGUUUAUUUCAGUGGUAAUUCUUGGCUAAGUACUUUUGCUGCAUGAUUGCCAUAGAGCAUUGGAAUCUUUAUUUUGCCAUCUCUUAUGUCUGGGGUUUGACAGUUUAAUCCAAGUUUCAUUAUUAAAAGAGUGAAAACAUUCCCCCUUUUCGUGAAAUUCAAUUCCAAUUGAACACUGGCAGGAACACAAGUAUGGACUUUAUGAAGCUCCACUGGCAUGAUCAAUGGAAAUAUAAUUUCUUGUUUUGUUUUUUUGUAGAUCUAGUCCUUUCAAAUAAGCUAGUGUUGUAUGAUCUUGAGAAUCAAGUCAUUGGAUGGACUGAAUAUAACUGUAAGUUUCAUGUUAUUUUCCCUUCAUUCUAUUCCAAUUUUGUGUCAUAUUUUAUUUUAAUUCAAAUUGUAGGUUAGUAUAUGUUAGGCCUAGCAGCAUAUAGUCAGGCCCCUUAUUGCUUGUUUUUGUGGAGACCCUUGAAGUCUUCUUAGUUCUUACACUAGUGAAAUUUGCAUGUAAUGCAUGACAAUUUGUGAUGUGAAUUUUCAUAACCUGUGGUCCACUUCUUUCACUGAAGCAAAGGUUAGGGGUGGUAUUGUGUCAGGGAAGGUCUUAGCUUUUGAACUUGCAUAGACGUUGGUUAAAUUAGAACAGUUAUUAUUCAUGAAGAAGUAGCUGUAAUCAUGAAGUAGCGGCCAUGGAUUUUCAGCAAGGAAGCAUGGGUGCGCCGUUUUGGCCGGCGCACCUGCUUCGGAUUCGCGUGGACACGGCUGAACGUGCGUCCCCUGCUGAUUUUUUUUUUCGAUGCAGCCCGAUGCAGUCCGAAAUAGGACCCGAUUCAGACUGUUAUGGGCUGAAAUACUUAUUUUAAAAAAAAAAAAAAAAACCGUAAAAGAUGUGAUCAAAACACACUGUUUUGUCGGCAAACUUUAAAGGAAACAAAACCCUACAUUCAUCUCAAUUAUCUCUUUCUCUCUUGGUCUCCUCUCUCUCUCUCUCUCUCUCUCUCUUUCUAAUCCACGGCCUCUAGCUCUCCCUCCAUCUUUCCUUCGCCUCACUGACCCACGGCUCACUCUCCUAGCUCUCCAUAAAAUCUCAAACCUCAAACCUCUGUAAAAUCUCAAACUUUCGAUCUUGUAUUCUAAAUUUUGAACAUCAUGUAAUGGUUAUGUAUUCAGUAUUCAUUUUAUUAUCUACUGACUACUAUUGCUCUUAAAUUGAUAUAUGUUUACCAUUAUAUAUAUAAAAAUAAUGCUUAGCAAUAUAUAGAAAAUAUAAAUAAAAAAUAUAUUUAAUAAUUAAUUAAUUAACGUAUCCCGUCGCACCUGUGUCCUAUUCAAAAAUUGCCGUGUCGCGGCACUGCACCCGCACCUGCACCCACACCUGAACCCAAAUCCGCACCCAUGCUUCCUAGAUUUUCCGUCACAGCUGUAUAUAUAUAUAUAUAUAUUUUUUUUUAUUUUUUGAUAAGUACAAAACUUCAUUGAAAAUAAGGAAAGCCAAAAAUAAGUACCAAAGCACACAGAUAGUGAGAUAUGGAACCAGCAAUACAUCAAAACUACGCAGUAUGGCAAGUAUAACUAUCAAGCAAAUCAGUCAAAGAAACAACAGCAAAGACAUCUGAAGCAUUUGUCCACUUUAGCAAUAUCAGGAAGAAAGAAAGAUUCAAGCCAUUGGUUGAUCUCUCAUUUUCUUCAAAAGUAUAAGAUUUAAAGUUUUUUUUGUUUUUUGUUUUUUCCAUCCCUUUGGCAUUCAAUGAAGGGUUUUGUUGCUCUUCUGAUGGGUGAAAUUUGUGUUUUUAAAAGUCAUUUAUACUCAAUAGUGUAAUGUGAUUAAAAAAAAAUUGCAAUAUUGAUUAGUGUAUAUUACAAAAUGUACAAUUUUUAGUUGCCAUGUCUGAUUCAGCCCUGGGUAAUGUUACUGACAUUAAAGCUCUCAAGCCCUGACUAGUGUAAAACUUUCUUAUGAAUUUAAUCAUUCUUGUAGCAAUUUGUCACACACCUGUCUUUCUGAACAUGCAUUGACAUUGACCUGUAUACAGAACUCUGAGAAAAUGAACCCCCAAGUUAGCUUUGGGAUUUAGUAACUAGACCUAAAGUUAUUUCAACUUGACAUGUUAAUGCUUAGUUGUGAAAAGAAAAAAAAUGUAUAAUUUUGUUUUAUCUCAAUGUUGCCUUUGCCUUAGUGCAACAGUAAGAUUUAAAUUUUUUUUAAAUCGAAGUGGAAAGGUUUGAUUCUGAAGAGUGGUUACUUUAUGCAAAAUUGAUGUUAGGACAGGUUUUGGUGGAAGCAAAAUUAGUUAGUGGUCUUUACUUUGUUGUUGCCUUUGUGGAAUCCUAAGAAGUUCUGGCUUUUGUUGAUUAAUGAUGGGAUACAAAUAUCCAUCCAAUGAUUUCUCUUGAUGCAAUAUCAAGCGAAGCAAGCAAUUAUUUCAUGAAUUUGGUGGAUUUAGGAUCUAUAGUCAUCUGGUUUGCACAAUUAUUUGUUUACAUGACAAUCAAAUCAUGGUUAAUAAUUUCCUUGAACUAAAACAAAUUAUUAAAUUCAUCCCAUCCUACCAGUGUGACGAGUGUUAAUUUAUCGUUAUAUCAAAGUAGGUGAUCUUGAAUUCGAACCAUGUUUCCGUGUACCUCCCAUUUAAAAAUUAUUUCAUGUGUUGGGCCUCAUGUAUUGAAGGGUGUUGAAGAGUUUGGAUCCAUACAUGAAGGUCAAAUGAGAAUAAUGGUAAAACUGAUUUAAUUUACCAUUUCUUGCAAGUUUAAGUUUUUGAGACUGAUAAUUUGUCAAUUACAUUGCAUGAAUUUCUAAACUCUAAUCUUAGAUGGAGCUCUAGAGUUCUAUUAUGCCAGACGAACUGGUUUUGGGUUUACACUUCACAAUCUUAUAUGAAGAAUGGUACCUCUGUUUUGUCUUGUGACCCUAAGUUUGAAGUUGGAAAGUUUGACAAAGUUCUCUGUAAAUUUGUCAUAGUAAUUAUCAAGGAAUUAUAAAAAAAACUGUCGCCGUCAAAUUGCAAAUGUUAUAAUGUUAUUUUUUUCUUUUUUGUUUUGUUGUUUGAUUUUAGAUUGAUUUAUUUCAGGCUCUUCAGAGAUUAAGGUGCUGGAUGAUCAAACUGGAACAAUACAUUUAGUAGGUCCCCACUAUCUUGAUUCUGCUUGCAGUUUGAAUAUUCGAUGGGCUAUAGUUUUGUUGUUUCUAAGUAUGUUGUUGCACUAUAUUUUCUCUGAAAUUCUACUAUAGGUUUCAGCCAAUAGAAAGUAUCAGUAGUUGAUAUAUGAAAAACAAAAUUUGAAUAUAAAUAGAAAAUAAUUAGAUUUAUUGAUAAGAUUGUGCCCCCACAUACUUUUCUCAGUUGUGUAUAUAUUUUCAUGCCUGAUGUGGAAACAAACUAGGAUUAUUCAUUGUACCAAUGCUUCACAGUAGACUGAUUCACAGUGGGUUACAUUUUUCUACCCAUAGUGAAUAUGUGGAAAUAUAAGAAAGCUUAGAACCGGCUUUGAGUUUUGUAAGUAUACAUGGUUUAAACUUUUUAAUUUCUGUUAGAAGUUUAAUUAGUUGAUUGUAGUUAUAUAAAUUUUAAUAAGGAUUGAAAUUCAGCUCAAGAGCUUUGGCGACUUGCUACUCAAAUCUAAUGUUCAACAAUACACGAAAAAAAAAUACUUAAAAGGGGUUAGUGAUAUGCUUUCAAAAGGCUUCCCUCGUUGCGUCAUAAAGAUUCAAAAUGUAAUGAAUUUGAGCAAUGGUACAAAGUCGUAGAUCUUAUCUGGUGAAGGAUCAAGGUGUCAGUGAUUCGGAGACAGAUGGCGGAGAUUUGCUUUUGGUUGUCUUGGAUUUGGGUUUACCCAUAGGUUUUAAGGGUCUUGACGGUCUUGGUGGGGAUUUACAAUGGGGGAUUACAGUCGGUGUUUUCUUAAUUCUUUUAGAAGCACACCAUUUGUCACAGCUUGGUGGUUGGCUGUGAAUGCCAAACAAUGACUUUCAUAUAGAUUUAUUUCUUUUUCAUUAUUAAUUACUCAAUCAUUUACAUCAAAGUUGUUGUAAAAGUUAUGUUCCUAGUCUUUUUCGUAAUUUUUUGUUGUUGCUGUGCCACCGAAGAGAUUGGCCGCCAUGGUCAUAUGGUGGUGCGGGAAAAGAUGAGAAAAAAAAAAAACAUUAAAACAAUGUAGUUUUAAUAUAUUAACAUUACGUUGUUGUUUUGAGCUUACAUCACAGUCGUAAAAAUAGACAAAAUCCCAUGUUAGUGUCAAAGGUCAGGGACUAAAUUUAUUUUUUUUUAAAACCAUCUAGGACCAAAAUCAAAAUUGAUCCAAAUAUAGUUGUAAUUUGGAAUAUAUAUUUUUUGGGAAAAAAAAAAAAAAGCAAAAGGGAAUCCUAAAAUGAUUAUGAGAGUUUCAAACCUAAAAAGCUUUAAAUUAGUUGGUGAAAAGAUCCAAGUUAUAUACAAACUCAAACCGAAGUCUUAAAGCAAUUGAUAUGAGAUUUCCACAUCUACCAUACCUUCAAGUUUGCAUAAAGUCCAUCCUCAAUUAGACCUAGCAAAAUUAGUCCUCAAUUAGACUCGUGCCAGUUAAUUUGCGAGAAUAUGUUUUAAAAAUAGAAAAUGGUUGGGCAGUACGAAUGUUAGCUGCUUUUUAGUCAACUUUGCAGGUCAAAUCUGGAACUUGACCCAACAUGUUUAUCAAGCCAAAUCUAUUAUAAAAUUUAAAUCAUACCUUUUUUUUUUUUUUAAAUGGGACAAAAAAUUGGAGCCUUGAAGUUUCAGUUGAAAUACUAUGAGAUGUCAUUUGACCUAGAAGUCAUGGGCCACGGGCCUAAUACGUGACGUGUUUGAGAAAAUUAAAUUGGACCUUAAUACCGCGUUAGAACAUCUAAUUCAGAAGCUUGGCACGGUGGCGAAACUCAACAACAUACAUUUAUAUCAUGUCCUAUACUAAUUGAUGUAGAAUUUCUUUGCAAUGAGUACGAGCUAUAAGAAAAGACAUAACUGUCAGAGAGGUAACUGGGGAGAUUGUUUUAGAUAGGACGGAAUGAGACAAGGAUUAUAGCUGAUCCCAAUUAUCUUGGAUUAAGGUUGAGUGGAAUUGUAUAUUUGAAAUCAUACCUCUGGUGUCUUUCCCUUGUAUUUGAAGCCACUUUUUGGCACUGAUAAUUGCACUACUCUACUAUAAUCUCUCUCUCACACAUACAUCAAUUGAUUCUCUUUUUAACGUUUCAAUUCUGCAUAAUGUCACUUUAUUAUACUUUUUGUUUGAUCUUUAACUGAGGGUUCAAAUGAACACCUACGAUGCAUUUGUCACAAGAAAAUUAUGCUUUACCACUUAAGCACACAACCAUUGUCUUUCUAGCUGACAAAUUGUAGAACUCGGUCAUUUAUACCAAUUAUAAUAGAAACAAAAGAGAGGGCAAAGACUAAAAGGCAAAUAGAAGAGGAAGUGGAAAAAAAGAAAAUAUGUUAAGACAUAGUAACUGGCAGGUAGAGCAGCCUGUCACUCGCACUGGAAAUACCAGGUUGUAGGGUGCAUUAGAAGCUUUUGAUGAGUGUAGUUGAAGGAAAAUUUUUGCAAGGGUGCCAAGGGUAACCCACUGUUGACGACACAGUCAUCAUAGCCUAGCACUUUGAGCAGCCUGGGAUUGACAAGAGUUUGAGGAAAGUUUCCACAGUUCAAAUGUAUAUUGAUAAUUGGGCACAUAGGGCAGUUGUUGUGCACUUCCACCAUGAAUUUUGGAGGCUCACCGAACCCCACCUGAGUCUGUUGCACUGUGGGAGCAUUGGCUGCACACUUUGCUCCUAACCCUGCAAUAUUAGUUUAUAAAUCACAUUAGCUUUUAACAUACAUUAAAAAAAAAAAAAAAAAAAAAAAAUUUUUUUAAAUCGAAGUGGAAAGGUUUGAUUCUGAAGAGUGGUUACUUUAUGCAAAAUUGAUGUUAGGACAGGUUUUGGUGGAAGCAAAAUUAGUUAGUGGUCUUUACUUUGUUGUUGCCUUUGUGGAAUCCUAAGAAGUUCUGGCUUUUGUUGAUUAAUGAUGGGAUACAAAUAUCCAUCCAAUGAUUUCUCUUGAUGCAAUAUCAAGCGAAGCAAGCAAUUAUUUCAUGAAUUUGGUGGAUUUAGGAUCUAUAGUCAUCUGGUUUGCACAAUUAUUUGUUUACAUGACAAUCAAAUCAUGGUUAAUAAUUUCCUUGAACUAAAACAAAUUAUUAAAUUCAUCCCAUCCUACCAGUGUGACGAGUGUUAAUUUAUCGUUAUAUCAAAGUAGGUGAUCUUGAAUUCGAACCAUGUUUCCGUGUACCUCCCAUUUAAAAAUUAUUUCAUGUGUUGGGCCUCAUGUAUUGAAGGGUGUUGAAGAGUUUGGAUCCAUACAUGAAGGUCAAAUGAGAAUAAUGGUAAAACUGAUUUAAUUUACCAUUUCUUGCAAGUUUAAGUUUUUGAGACUGAUAAUUUGUCAAUUACAUUGCAUGAAUUUCUAAACUCUAAUCUUAGAUGGAGCUCUAGAGUUCUAUUAUGCCAGACGAACUGGUUUUGGGUUUACACUUCACAAUCUUAUAUGAAGAAUGGUACCUCUGUUUUGUCUUGUGACCCUAAGUUUGAAGUUGGAAAGUUUGACAAAGUUCUCUGUAAAUUUGUCAUAGUAAUUAUCAAGGAAUUAUAAAAAAAACUGUUGCCGUCAAAUUGCAAAUGUUAUAAUGUUAUUUUUUUCUUUUUUGUUUUGUUGUUUGAUUUUAGAUUGAUUUAUUUCAGGCUCUUCAGAGAUUAAGGUGCUGGAUGAUCAAACUGGAACAAUACAUUUAGUAGGUCCCCACUAUCUUGCUUCUGCUUGCAGUUUGAAUAUUCGAUGGGCUAUAGUUUUGUUGUUUCUAAGUAUGUUGUUGCACUAUAUUUUCUCUGAAAUUCUACUAUAG
rnacentral:sRNA from 1 species